rnacentral:rRNA from 1 species
AGAAUGAACGCUGGCGGCGUGCUUAACACAUGCAAGUCGUACGAGAACACCCUAGCUUGCUAGGGUAAGUAAAGUGGCGCACGGGUGAGUAACGCGUGGGUAAUCUACCUUCGAAUUGGGGAUAACGUUGCGAAAGCGACGCUAAUACCGAAUAACAUCCAUUAAUCUUCGGGUUUUUGGAUCAAGGGUGGCCUCUACAUGUAAGCUACUGUUUGAAGAUGAGCCCGCGUACCAUUAGCUUGUUGGUGGGGUAAUGGCCUACCAAGGCUUCGAUGGUUAGCUGGUCUGAGAGGAUGAUCAGCCACACUGGAACUGACACACGGUCCAGACUCCUACGGGAGGCAGCAGUGAGGAAUUUUGCGCAAUGGGGGAAACCCUGACGCAGCAACGCCGCGUGAGUGACGAAGGCUUUCGGGUCGUAAAGCUCUGUCAAGUGGGAAGAACCUACAGUAUGCUAAUAUCAUAUUGUACUGACGGUACCACUGAAGGAAGCACCGGCUAACUCCGUGCCAGCAGCCGCGGUAAUACGGGGGGUGCAAGCGUUAUUCGGAAUCAUUGGGCGUAAAGAGCACGUAGGCGGCUUGGUAAGUCAGAUGUGAAAGCCCGGGGCUUAACCCCGGAAGUGCAUUUGAUACUGCCAGGCUUGAGUAUGGGAGAGGGAAGUGGAAUUCCUGGUGUAGAGGUGAAAUUCGUAGAUAUCAGGAGGAACACCGGUGGCGAAGGCGACUUCCUGGACCAAUACUGACGCUGAGGUGCGAAGGCGUGGGUAGCAAACAGGAUUAGAUACCCUGGUAGUCCACGCAGUAAACGUUGUUCACUAGGUGUAGCGGGUAUUGACCCCUGCUGUGCCGCAGUUAACGCAUUAAGUGAACCGCCUGGGGAGUACGGCCGCAAGGUUA